GGCUAUGUUGGCCGGGCGACGGUUGUCCCGGUUUAAGCGUGUAGGCUGGUUUUCCAGGCAAAUCCGGAAAAUCAAGGCUGAGGCGUGAUGACGAGGCACUACGGUGCUGAAGCAACAAAUGCCCUGCUUCCAGGAAAAGCCUCUAAGCAUCAGGUAACAUCAAAUCGUACCCCAAACCGACACAGGUGGUCAGGUAGAGAAUACCAAGGCGCUUGAGAGAACUCGGGUGAAGGAACUAGGCAAAAUGGUGCCGUAACUUCGGGAGAAGGCACGCUGAUAUGUAGGUGAAGUCCCUCGCGGAUGGAGCUGAAAUCAGUCGAAGAUACCAGCUGGCUGCAACUGUUUAUUAAAAACACAGCACUGUGCAAACACGAAAGUGGACGUAUACGGUGUGACGCCUGCCCGGUGC
rnacentral:rRNA from 1 species